rnacentral:lncRNA from 1 species
UGAGUGGUGAAGACCAUGUGGAGUCAAGGUGCUGAGCUGGAGUCGCGUAGACUUAGAGAGCAAGAGAGUAUCUUGGAGAUAAGGAAAGAUGAAUAAACUUGAGAAGCAAGUUUAUGACUUAAAGAAGAGGAAUAAGUGCAUUCCAAGAAAAGGAAAGUUGCACUUAUUAUUAUGGAAGAUGUCCAUACAUGUUGCCUUGGAGACUAAGGUUUCGGAAACAUGGAGAAUAACUAUAAGAUAACUAUGGGGUCGUCUGUAUAGAGACAGAGACACAGAGGCUGAUCUUAUAGAAAGAGAGAGAGAAGCUCUUGGAAGUGUUCUAGGUCGUGCUGAAGCAGUGGCUGAAGUACUUGACGGAAGAGAGACACAAGCGGGUAGCUUAGGAAUCUUUCAAUAGUAGUUGUUAGGGUGUAACAGACUGUGUAAAGCAGAUCUUGUAAUAGAGUGUACAAGACGAUUUCUAAUAAAGCUUAAGGGUUGCUUGUAGUUGUUUUGUCUCUUGCUUUACUUUCUGUAUUACCUUAUUGUGUCUGCAUCUUGCACUUACAAGUGGUAUCAGAGCGGGGCACCUAAGUUAUCAGUGUUAUCCUGAAGGUGAAGAUGGACACGAUUAUUUCGGUGCAGAAGGCGAUCGCGUUGAAUGCAGACCAAUAUGGUCAUUGGAAAG